UCUUCAACUUUGUCAACACACACGGUUACGUGAUUUCAUCUCAUCACCUUGGUAAACCACCAACUUUUUCUUUCAUUCGAACCGACGACUGGGCGCGACUCUACCCGAACCUCAAGUUCAGUGACAACAUCCACAGCCUACCUGGUCUCCCGCGGCCCACCUGAAACAACUUUUCCUUUCGAUCGCGGAUCGCGGUGGACGGCGACUUUGCGAAGGUGCGCGUGAUUUUAGUUUCUCGAAGAGCUGAUACCGACAAAAGAGUUUCGAUCGGCAAUAUGGUGACCCCUGCUCGGUUCGUGAAUUGAAGUUUUCGUGUUUUGUGCGCUCAGUGGAUUCGAAUCAACAGGUGGGAUUAAGCAGCACCUCCCGUGGUAUAUCUACAUGUGAAACUUCUGCGGGCUGAAACUUCGUUUUCUUCGUAGGAACUUUCCAGCGGUGACAAUGGGAAAACUCAACAUUGCCUCCGUUGCCUCCUUCACCUCAGUUGCUCUCGUUUUUCUAUUGAGUUGCACGAGUUCAGUCGUACAAGCAGCAAACAUUCCACAAACAACAA